CUUAUAAGUGGUUGGUUUAACCUCUGGUUUUCUAGUAAAACUAAAUUACUGUGUCCUGAAAUGAGGAAUGUCUAAAAAGGUGUGCCACCAACAUGAAAUGUUUGGAAAGCUCUGGUACAGGUCCUUCUGCUGAACCGGAUGAGAUCAGUUAAAACUUAGCACAGGUUAGCAUAGGGUUGUGGGUGCUUAGUUUCUCUGAAAGAAAGACAUUACAUAAAACAGGUUUGGAGAGACUGCGGGGCAAGGGAUUGAUAGGAUUUUGAUAUCUGCAAAAAAGAGGAACACAACCUUUUCCCCCCUCUCCAAAACGGUUUUGCACUCCCCUGGUUUGAAGCUGGUUUAGUCCAUCGUUGAUGCUGAUGCAUUGUCCGACCACAUCUUGUUUCCGUCAAACUUUGUGGUGUCUUGCUGUUGAUAUGGCUCUUGUCGUUGUGUAAGCCAGAAUGAACGCUGGCAAUGACUGUGAGGUGGAUGUGGUCAAAAACAUUGACGACGUUACUUCCCUCCCCAGGGAGAAAAGGGGAAGCUGUUUGGUGUCUUUUCUGCUUGACCCAGAUGCCCAAUGGAGUAUCUUCAACGGCUGCUGGGGACCCUGCAACAGGCUGUGAAUUUUGUUUCCUCCUUUACUUCAUACCUCCUUGGAGAUGAAGCUCACCCAGGAGCCGGAGAGACAGAAAAUGCAAGGGAGACAAGCUGCCACCAGAACUAUGAAGUUGAGACAACACACUAUGGAGAUGUUCUUCCAGGAGGAUAUCUGGAAGCCGUAGAAAGACCACUCACCACAGAGGUGUCCUCACCCCAUCAUGAGAUCCAGGAAAGGGAAGAAGCUCAAACAACAGUGGUUGUUUCUGGACUGUCAGAACAACGCUGCAAAUAUGAGAAAAAGUCUCAGCAGGAGCUCUCAGGUGAUGGGACGUUCUAGAAUGCAUCACAGUCAUAUUGUGGGGAGUGAUGGAUAAUUCCAUGGGGUUUGAGUUCCUAGCUGGUUUGUUUCAAAACAGACCCCCCUGUUAUUAUGUAUUUAUUUCUUUAAAUAUUUGUAUUCUACUCUUUAUUGUGGUGUUUUCGGGAAGGAUAUGAAUUGCAAUAUAAGCAUUUUAAAACAAUUCCAGAUUAGAACAAUCAAAUAAGUUACCGUAUAUACGCGAGUAUAAGCCGACCCGAAUAUAAGCCGAGGCAUCUAAUUUUACCACAAAAAAAAUGGGAAAACAUUUACUCCAGUAUAAGCCAAGGGUGGUAAAUUCAGAAAUAAAAAUAGAUACCAAUAAAAUUACAUGGAGGCAUCAGUUGGUUAAAUGUUUUUGAAUAUUUACUUAAAGCUCAAAUUUAAGAUAAGACUGUCCCACUCUAAUCAAAUCAUUAUUCUCAUCUUCUUCAAUGUAAAUGUGCUUAUGUAUCCUUUGAAUAAUAAUAGAGUAAAAUAAUACAUGUAAUAAUAAUAAUAAUAAAUACAGGAAAAUAAUACAAGUAAUAAUAAAUAGAGUAAAAUAAUAAAUGCAAUAAUAAUAAUUAGAUCAGAGUGAAAUAAUAAAUGUAAUAAUAAUAAUAAAAAUAAAAUAAAAUAAAAUAAAUGUAAUAGUAGCAACAAUAAUAGAGAUAAAUAAUAAAUGUAAUAAUACCAAUAAUGAUAGAGAAAA
rnacentral:lncRNA from 11 species